rnacentral:rRNA from 2 species
GGCCCAAUUGAUUGAUGGUGCUUGCACCUGAUUGAUUUUGGUCGCCAACGAGUGGCGGACGGGUGAGUAACACGUAGGUAACCUGCCCAGAAGCGGGGGACAACAUUUGGAAACAGAUGCUAAUACCGCAUAACAACGUUGUUCGCAUGAACAACGCUUAAAAGAUGGCUUCUCGCUAUCACUUCUGGAUGGACCUGCGGUGCAUUAGCUUGUUGGUGGGGUAACGGCCUACCAAGGCGAUGAUGCAUAGCCGAGUUGAGAGACUGAUCGGCCACAAUGGGACUGAGACACGGCCCAUACUCCUACGGGAGGCAGCAGUAGGGAAUCUUCCACAAUGGGCGCAAGCCUGAUGGAGCAACACCGCGUGAGUGAAGAAGGGUUUCGGCUCGUAAAGCUCUGUUGUUAAAGAAGAACACGUAUGAGAGUAACUGUUCAUACGUUGACGGUAUUUAACCAGAAAGUCACGGCUAACUACGUGCCAGCAGCCGCGGUAAUACGUAGGUGGCAAGCGUUAUCCGGAUUUAUUGGGCGUAAAGAGAGUGCAGGCGGUUUUCUAAGUCUGAUGUGAAAGCCUUCGGCUUAACCGGAGAAGUGCAUCGGAAACUGGAUAACUUGAGUGCAGAAGAGGGUAGUGGAACUCCAUGUGUAGCGGUGGAAUGCGUAGAUAUAUGGAAGAACACCAGUGGCGAACGCGGCUACCUGGUCUGCAACUGACGCU